rnacentral:sRNA from 1 species
UCGUACAACAGGAGGGGCCGGGGCUGUCGCUGACCUUUACGGGUCGUGCACGCCUCGCCCCCCUUACAUCCACCUCACCUUUUGUGCAUCACCGCGUGGGCUCCUCUAGUAGGGGCUUGCGUUCUUCACACGAAACGAGUUUUUAUAUAGAAUGUCUUCUUUGCGAUGGUACGCAAUCAAUACAACUUUCAACAACGGAUCUCUUGGCUCUCGCAUCGAUGAAGAACGCAGCGAAAUGCGAUACGUAAUGUGAAUUGCAGAAUUCAGUGAAUCAUCGAAUCUUUGAACGCACCUUGCGCCCCUUGGCAUUCCAAGGGGCACACCCGUUUGAGUGUCGUGAAAUCCUCAACCUUCACCCCUUUGAUCGGGUGAAGGCUUGGACUUUGGAGGCUUUUGCCGGCGUCUAUCGCACGUCGGCUCCUCUUAAACGGAUUAGCUGGGUCUCCUUUGUCGAUCCUUGACGUGAUAAGAUUAGCUUCUACGUCCGGGGUUUCAGAGUAGAGACCCGCUUCCAACGACCGAUUGAACCC